rnacentral:lncRNA from 1 species
GUAAAAACUAACAUUUUCUCGAUAUAUUUAUUUUUAUUUUGUAUUACUUCUAAGAGUAUUCAUUUACAAUUAAUCUUUGGAUGAAAAAGGGAAUAGUAAGCCUCCGCUUCACUAUCUCUCGAUUAUUCGAGUAAUUGGCGUACGCCAUAUUACUCGGAUUUUCGUCAUUCAAUUAAAACCCUAAAAAAUCUAUAAAAUUAAAAUCACUUCCUCAAGUUAAUUAUAAAUCCUAAAACUUUAUUUUAAUAAUUAAUCUUUGAA